UUUGAAUGUGUGUGUGUUUUUUUUCUUAAGGCAAGGCAGCAGUGUGUGUCCGGUUGGAAAAGUUCCAGUGAUUGGUGCUUACUACUUCAGGUGGUAAGUCGUUGCGGAAAUGGGGAGGGAAUUAACCUUAGUUUUUAAUUAUACAGUGGUCAUGUUCUAAGCUGGGGUCCCUCAGUAUCUGGGGUGGAACCAGCGGAGAAAUUUUAAAGUCCAGGAGAAGCUCCUGUGGCAGAGGUAAUCAUGGCCGUUGUUAAUGCGUUUAGUGACGGAGUGGCAAGUUGAAGCUAAUGUUAGGGUAUUGCUGAAGCAGCGGUUACCUGUGGCUUCGACUGAACGGUAAGGAUGUAAUAAUCCCCCCCAGUGUUAUUGUUUUGUCAGGUGGGGUCUCGCAGAGUGUGCGGUGGAACCACCGGGCGGAUUUUAGAGCGCAGGAGUAGUUCUUGCGUUUUGGGGUUGCUUGUCAGGAGUGGACCGUUAAUGUCACUUGCGUUAGGGUAGAGGGAGGGUUUUAGCGUGUGUUUAGCUCUUUCCAGACGUCAUGUCUAAUUUGGGGUAGCUUGGUUUCCAGCCUGGCGAUGGAGACCCGUAGUUAAGUAAUCGUCGGGGCGACGAUUCAUAUUGUGGGGGUGGAAUGUAGCAGGAUGACGUAUAUUCUAGUCAUUGGUCAACGUGUGGUAAAACCACAGACCAAUUGGAUGUUAAUUCAGAGGGUAUAAAAGCCCUGAGAGGUUGGGGAGCGAGAUGCGUCAUCCAGUGGUACCGCCCUCUUGGCGGACGCGGGUUUUAUGAAUGAAUGAAUGGUAAGUGUUGGCUGCACGCGUAAAUUUGUGUUUGUGUAAAGUUUUAAUUUUGUUAUACUUGUGCUAGGAUAAUGCUCGUUCCAUCGGGUGUCUCAUCACCGAGUAUGUGAUAUGUGAUGUUCGUAACCUUUUGGAAUGAAUUGGUGACAUGUAGCCUACGCCUUCACGGUGUCCGUAACCACAUUGAAUGGGACGAGUGUUAAUCUGAGAUGACUGCACUGCUGCCUUGCCUGGGUCUCAUUUGCUCAAAUUUGGUAGUUGGACGCUCACGAAUCUGCGACAAUGAUAUUGCUCUCCUUUAGGCUGCUAUAGGGCUGAGGUGGGGUGCUGACAGCAUUGACUGGGUGCUGACGGCCUUGACCACGUCAUUUGAUUACGGGACUGUGAUCAUGAAGGUCUGAAUUGACUGUUUUAUCCACUGCUUUUAAAGUGCAGCCUUUCUCUCUGGUCGCUGGGAGCACGUGACCCAACUACCUUCAGCUGCCGCUUAUGGUUGUUUGUCGGUUUAUUAAAUUGCCUUGAUUAUGUUUUUUAUGUUUUAGUUAUUAAUGUCUGUCUUUUUGUAUAAGUUUAAUUGUUUUGAUUGUAUUUUGUUUGAAGUGGGAUGCGUUGGCUGGGGAUUGAACUUCACAAAUUGCGGUUUGCUGUUUUGCAGUGCUUCACUAACUUUGCGGUAUUGAGUGUGGGGUGUAAACUACACAAUCCCUGCCAGCAACUCUCACUUUAAUUUUAUUGUCUUUUUUUUCCCGUAUGUGUUGUGAAGCUUAAAUUGUGACUCUUGAGGGAUGAUUAUUUAUUUUACUCUAUAAAAUAAAGAAUUUAUAUAUUUUGCUAUA